rnacentral:tRNA from 1 species
UCUAAAAUGACAGACAGAUGUAUAGGACUUAAGCUCCUAGUAGGAAGGACAUACUUCUUUUAGAA